CNUGCGNCUAAGGGGNGNGGGNGNCNGGGGUGGGCGCUNCCCUACCGGUGGCAGCANCCUACGGGAAGCNCCAGNCUNUUGGAGGCNUCUUCCUNGNUUUGCCGCCUUCCUGGGNUGUGGUGUGACNCGUACCAUCUUAAUAAGCACCGGCUAANUCCGUGCCAGCAGCCGCGGUAAUACGGAGGGUGCAAGCGUUGUCCGGAUUUAUUGGGUUUAAAGGGUGCGUAGGCGGGCUAAUAAGUCUGGUUUGAAAGUCAGCGGCUCAACCGUUGAGGGUGGCUGGAUACUGUUAGUCUUGAAAUUGUUGGAGGCAGCCGGAACGGAUCGUGUAGCGGUGAAAUGCAUAGAUAUGAUCCAGAACACCAAUUGCGUAGGCAGGCUGCUACGACUGAUUUGACGCUGAGGCACGANAGCAUGGNGAGCAAACAGGAUUAGAUACCCUGGUAGUCCAUGCCGUAAACGAUGAUCACUGGCUGUUUGAGACCUGUUCUUGAGUGGCUAANCGAAAGCGAUAAGUGAUCCACCUGGGGAGUACGCCGGCAACGGUGAAACUCAAANNAANUUNACNGG
rnacentral:rRNA from 1 species